rnacentral:rRNA from 1 species
GAUGAACGCUAGCGAUAGGCUUAACACAUGCAAGUCGAGGGGCAGCGAGGUUAGCAAUACCUGUCGGCGACCGGCGCACGGGUGAGUAACGCGUAUGUAACCUGCCCGCCACAGGGGUAUAACCCGGCGAAAGUCGGACUAAUACCGCAUAAAACAGGGGUCCCGCGUGGGACUAUUUGUUAAUGAUUUAUCGGUUGCUGGUGGGCAUGCGUACCAUUAGGUAGUUGGUGAGGUAACGGCUCACCAAGCCUUCGAUGGUUAGGGGUUCUGAGAGGAAGGUACCCCACAAUGGUACUGAGACACGGACCAGACUCCUACGGGAGGCAGCAGUGAGGAAUAUUGGUGAAUGGGCGAGAGCCUGAACCAGCCAAGUCGCGUGAAGGAUGACUGCCCUAUGGGUUGUAAACUUCUUUUACAAGGGAAUAAAAUGAGAUACGUGUAUUUUAUUGAAUGUACCUUGAGAAUAAGCAUCGGCUAACUCCGUG